AGAAGCUCAUGGGCUCUUAUCAGAUGAAAGUACCCCAGACCUUGCAGGAUUAGGAACCUCAUCUGGCCUGAACAGAAGAUGCUGCCAGGGGAAGUUGCUGCCACCAAGAGGGCCAAAACCAAAGUGAGUGUCUGCAUCAACCCCUCAGGCACUGCUAGACCAACAAAAAUGUACAACACCAAUUUUUGGAAGAGAAAGUCCCCACUACCUACUCUGGUACCAGCGAGCCUAGAAUAUGGACUGCUGUCCUCAAAGCUGUGAUGGGAAUGGUAGCUGGUUCACUUAUGUUGCUGUCUUAGGAAAGAUCAGCAGUCCCUCCCUUCAUCAAGCCCUCCCCUGGUUAUUUUAAGUGUCUAGUUAGGUUCCACUAUUUAGUUCCUAAAUAGUUGAUUCUAGUCACUCCUUCUGGGUCAAUGGUUGUUUCAGUAGAGGGAUAGCUCCUGGAGCUUCCUGCUCUGUUAGUUUUCAUGACAUCACUCCUGAAAGCCUGAUUUUUAUUUAUUUUAUUUUAUUUUUUUCUCCAACUUUACUGAAGUGUAAUUGACAAAUAAAAGUUGUGUAUAUUAAAGGCAUACAACAUGAUGUUUUGAGGUAUACACACACACACACAUUGUAAAGCAGUUACCAUAAUCUAGCUAAUUAACAUAUUCAUCACCUUACACAGUUCCAUUUUUUCAUAUGUGGUUGGUGAGAAUGCUUAAGAUCUAUCUACUGUCUUAGCAAAUUUCAAGUAUAAAUUGUUAUAAACUACCAUUGUUGUAAACUGCCAUCACUAUGUUGUUAUUACGUCUCCAGGACUUAUUCAUCUUAUAACUGAAAGUUUAUAUCCUUGACCAAUGUCUUCCCAUUUCCUCCACUAUCCAGCCCCUGGCAACCACCAUUCUAUUUUCUGUUUCUGAGUUCAUCUUUCUUAGAUUCUACAUGUAUGUGAGAUCAUGCAGUAUUUGUCUGUCUGUGUCUGGCUUAUUUCACUUGCAUAAUGUCCUCCAGGUUCAUCCAUAUUGUCACAUAUGUCAGGAUUUCAUCUUCUUUUUUUAAAGCUGAAUAAUAUUCCACAGUGUAUAUAUAGCGCAUUUUCUCUGUUCAUAGAUCUGUUGCUAGACACUUAAGUUGUUUCCAUAUCUUAACUAUUGUCAGUGAUGCUGCACUGAACGUGGAAUUCAGAUACUUUUUUGAGAACAUGAUUUUAUUUUCUUUGGCUAUAUAUCUAGAAGGAGGAUUUCUGGAUCAUAUGGUAAUUCUAUUUUUAAUUUUUUCAGAAACUUCCAUACUGUUUUCCGUAAUGGUUGCACCAAUUUACAUUCCCAUUAUCAAUGCAUAAGAGUUGUUUUUUUCCUCCUUGCCAUACACUUGUUAACUUUUGACGUUUUGAUCAUAGUCAUCCUAACAGGUGUGAGAUGAUAUCUUAUUGUUUUGAUUUGCAUUUGCCUCAUGAUUAGCGAUAUUGAGCACCUUUUCAUACACUUGUUGGCCAUUUGUAUGUCAUCUUUGGAAAAAAAUCUAUCAGUGUCUUUUGCCCAUUUUUUUUUCUUGGAGACAGGGUAUUUAUUUAUUAUUUAUUUGUUGGGAUGGAGUCUCGCUCUGUUGCCCAGACUGGAGUGCAGUGGCGCAAUCUCGGCUCACUGCAAGCUCCACCUCUUGGGUUCACACCAUUUCUCCUGCCUCAGCAUCCCCAGUAGCUGGGACCAUAGGCGCCUGCUACCAGGCCUGGCUAAUUUUUUGUAUUUUUAAAGUAGAGACAGGGUUUCACCGUCUUAGUCAGGAUGGUCUCGAUCUCCUGACCUUGUGAUCCACCAGCCUUGGCCUCCCAAAGUGCUGGGAUUACAGGUGUGAGCCACCGCGCCCGGCCGGAGACAGGGCCUUGCUCUGUUGCCCAGGCUGGAGGGCAGUGGCAUGAUCAUAACUCACUGCAGCCUUGACUUCUGGGGCUCAGGCAAUCUUCUUGCCACCCAAGCAGCUCAGACUAUAGGUGCACCUCAUCAUUCCCAAUUAAUCUUUAAAAAUUUUUUUUUAGAGACAAGGUCUUACUGUGCUGCCCAGGCUGGUCACAAACUCCUGAGCUCAAGGGAUCCUACUGCCUGAACCUCUCAAAGUGCUAGGAUUACAGGCAUGAGCCGCUGUGCCUAGCCCCUUUGCCCAUCUUUAAGUUGGGAUAUAAUUAUUAUUAUUAUUAUUUGCUGCUGAGUUGUAUGAGUUCCUUAUAUAUUUUAGAUAUUAAUAUCUCAUCUUAUAUAUAUGGGGUUCAAAUAUUUUAUCCCAUUCCUUUCAUUGCCUUUUCAUUUUACAGAUUGUUUUUGCUGUACAGAAACUUUUCGGUUUGGUACAGUCCCCCUUGUUUGUUUUUGCUUUUUUUGCCUGUGCUUUUGGUACCGUAUCAAAAAAAAAAAAAAAAAA
rnacentral:lncRNA from 1 species